rnacentral:rRNA from 1 species
UACAGAGGUGGCAAGCGUUGUUCGGAAUUACUGGGCGUAAAGGGCGCGUAGGCGGCCUUGUCAGUCAGACGUGAAAUCCCCAGGCUUAACCUGGGAACUGCGUCUGAUACUACAAGGCUUGAGUUCGGGAGAGGAAUGUGGAAUUCCAGGUGUAGCGGUGAAAUGCGUAGAUAUCUGGAGGAACACCGGUGGCGAAGGCGGCAUUCUGGACCGAAACUGACGCUGAUGCGCGAAAGCCAGGGGAGCAAACGGG